GACGAGCGCUGGCGGCGUGCUUAACACAUGCAAGUCGAACGGUGAACCUCUUCGGAGGGGAUCAGUGGCGAACGGGUGAGUAACACGUGGGCAACCUGCCCCCGGCUCUGGGAUAACUCCAAGAAAUUGGGGCUAAUACCGGAUGUUCACCGCUUCCCGCAUGGGUGGUGGUGGAAAGGGUUUCCGGCUGGGGGUGGGCCCGCGGCCUAUCAGCUUGUUGGUGGGGUAGUGGCCUACCAAGGCGACGACGGGUAGCCGGCCUGAGAGGGUGACCGGCCACACUGGGACUGAGACACGGCCCAGACUCCUACGGGAGGCAGCAGUGGGGAAUAUUGCGCAAUGGGCGGAAGCCUGACGCAGCGACGCCGCGUGGGGGAUGACGGCCUUCGGGUUGUAAACCUCUUUCAGCAGGGACGAAGCGCAAGUGACGGUACCUGCAGAAGAAGCACCGGCCAACUACGUG
rnacentral:rRNA from 1 species